CAAGGGUCCUUAACAUGCCAAUUGGGUUAAAAGGUGAUAACUACUACUCAAAAGUGUUUAAAAGAGUUAAUUACAAGCUAUGAAAUAGCACUUUUUGAGUAGUAAUCAGUAUAAUUCAUGAAAUUAAGAUAGAAAAAAAAAUGAAUUGGAACUUUAUUAAUAAAUAAUAAAAUCCAAAAUUUUACUAUAUCAUGUCAUGCUUUCAAGGGCUCUAUCCAAACAUACAUGACUUGAGUGCAUUAGGAGUUGCACAGAAGAUACAAGUCAUGAGUUCCUUGCAAGAUGAUAAGUAGUUUGCAAUCAAUUCAUGGACUUAGGCAAUCUUGUAGAGACUAUAGUGCACUACCUUCUAAUUGGAAGGAUGACUUGUCUUAGUUGUUAGGCUAAGGUUUCCUUGGUAAGGUCACUAGUGUGUAUGGUUACUGAGAAAAUAAAGGCUACACUUAAAUGAAAAAAACACCCAAGAGAAGGGUGAAUUGGGUUUUUCAAAAUCUUUUUCAACACAACAAAUUCAAGCACAAUAGAAGCAAAAAUAAAGAGGUAGAGUUUAGAGAAAGCAAACUCAGAUUUUAUAGUGAUUCGACACUUCCUUGCCUACAUCCACUCUCCUCAAUCUCCUAAUCGAGUGAAGGUUUCACUAACUUGAAGCUUCAACCAAGCUUCCAAUCUCCUUUACACUUGGAUUCCGACUCCAAUGGGCUCUUACACAAUCUCUUCAAGAAUCAACUCACUUGAAGGCUUUAACACUCACUUUUUACAAGAAUGAAUCCCUCAACCUAGCUCAAUGAUAGCUCAAAUACAAAUUAAAGUUAGGAUGAAACACAAAGGUGCACUAAAGGAUAUGCAAGUGUAGAUUUAAUGCACUAAGAAAGAAAUGAGAGCUUUUAAGGCAAGAAAAAGUGGGUAGACAAUUGAAUGCCAAUGUUCUCUAUGUCAUAAAUGAAGUGGAG
rnacentral:lncRNA from 1 species